GGUGAAUUCAACAUUCGUUGGCAGGAAGAUGAUAGAUGACAUUUGCUGGUUCAAUGUUCUUCAUGGAAGAAGUCUUUCAAAAGGAAAAGGGCAAAGGAAAAGAAAAAUUCUGUUUGAUGUGAAACUAGAGAAUUAGUGGAAAAUGUAUAAAUGAGAGGAAUGCUCUAAGUGACCCUAUCCAAACAGGAUUUGUAAAGAAAGAAGAGAAGAAAUGGAAUAUUCAAAACAAUUUCCCCUGGACUCUGAAGAUCUUUUCUAUACACAUCCUCAAAAUUGCCAGUACUGCCCCUUGUUCACCUGAGGAACAAAAUGCUUCUUCAUCUUUGCUUGGGUGAUGGUUCAACAUCUCAGUGUUUCAGUAAAGCAGAUAGCAAACUUUGUUGCUCCAAAAACUAAGCCUCUAGUACAAAAUGAAGAUGCUGCCAGGGAGCCGU